rnacentral:piRNA from 1 species
UGGCAAUCGGUUGACUAAUGUUUGCCCAUUU